GAACAAUAUGGCUCAGGGGCAGAGUAUGUGAUUUGCAUGCAAAAGGUCUCAGGUUCAAUAUCUGGUAUCUUCA